AGUGCUUGGAAGAUCACUCUGUUACUGUACAUGGAGCUAUGGGCUCCAGGGUCAUGGCAGGUCAGGUUCCCAAUUCCCACCAAGGAUCCCUUGAUUAGAAAAAUAGUCCUGCUAAGAGAUCAUUUAAAUUUCCUCCAGCACUUCUGGAGUCUACAAUUUCACACAAAACAAACCUGAGCUAGGGUGUAGGUCUUUCAAACCACGUUACUGAAACUGCGUACAGUCACCAAAUGAUAAAAAACUUUAAAAAUGGUGACACUCUAGUGCCCUCUUGGUGGGAGUUUACCCUAUGCUGGCAGUCGUGUCCUGUACCUAUCCCACUCAAUGCCACAGUUGCUCAGUUGGAUUCCCUCUGUGUGCUUGCACAGACCCAGGGAUGUGUUGGUUGGCAGGAACUGAUGGAAAGGGUGUUGCUGCCUGCUCAAAACAUGUCCUUGUCCAGCCCUUGGUCAAGGACAGCUCUAGGUGUUUUAGACAUGUGCCACAGUCUUUUUUUUUCUUCAUCUCUCUCCCUCUUUUGUCUUGGCUGGUCUUGUAAAGGUUUUCAGGAACUUCAUGAGCACUCAGACCCACAAACACAUAGUUUCCUGUACCACACAGUUCAUUUUACGUAGAGGUUUAUCCAAGAGAUGUUUGCAUGAACAGCCAAAAUAGUGAUAAUGCACCUUGUUACUAAAUAUGUAUGAAUGGCUGCUCAGGUAUGCAGGAGAGAAUGGAAACUCUCACAUUUGGACCUCCAGGGCUGUUAAAGUGACCUCUUAAUAGACUGGUAGGGUCUAUAAAUAUAAUUCAUUCAUUUUAUCAGCUUAUUUGUUAGAGCUUGAAUUUCUUCUGAUAUAUUUGCCUACUCCCAAUUUCAAAGGUCAGUUUGGCUGGUAUGAAUCGUAUUCAUGAUUUACAGAAUUACACUCUGUAAUGCUGCCAAGGAAACAAGCUGAAACACAGUAAAACAGUAAAAAGUAGUAAAUAGUAAAAGCCCUAGGAAUAACAUUCACUCUCUACCAGGUAUCCUGAGGGUUGGCUCUUAUGCUGGAGGAAGAAACCACUUCUAUUGCUGCCACGAGUAGAAAGGACAUUCAAAUUCUGUUUGCAACUGGCUAUUUCCAAAUGAUGGAUCUAUCAGUGUUUACCUUAAAAUUAAAAGAUGUAACUGCCUGGAAUUUCAGCACUAGAUAUGAAAGCUGUAUAGCAAACCUGCUCCUUUGGAUAUGAAGUUUAAUAGGUUACAAAGGAGUGUUUCAUUAGCUAAAUAUGGAGAGCCUGCCUGCACCCCAUGGCUGUCUGCCUCUGCCCCACAGCUGCCUGCCUGCCUGCUGGGCACCCCCCAGCCUUGUGCACUCUGCAUGCCUGGCUGCCUGCAGAUACCUUCCUCAUGAGUGUGAAGUGCCAGAAAAAUGUUCCUCAGAGAGGUUUUUUGUUCCUAAUGGCCUUCUCAGACAGGCCACAGUGGAAUUAGUGAUUUAAUUGGACAGCUUGCU